GUUCAGUUACCUCAGGCGCCACUAGUGCUGCUCAGCAGCUGAAUUGUCAUUAAUACAUGUUAUAUAAGGCGGCGAAGAGGUAAGUUAUCAUUUUUGUCUUGAUUCAAUGGUGUUAUGCUUUAUUAUAUAUAUAAAAGACAUUUGUAUAAUGUUAAAAGAAAGUUUAGCACGUUGAAGAUGGUCUGCGAGUGCGACGGCGUCACGGCCUGAAAACCUAAUCCACGGGUCUAUAUCGGAUAAUGUAGUUAGUGAGGGCGUAUAUAGAUUUUAAAUGCAUAGUAACGUUAUGGCAUAGUUUGCAUUAAAUAAAUAUUUUGAUUUUCAGUGUGUGUCAGGGAACGUAAAUUAAGCUAGCUGGCUACACUGUCAAGGCUAACGUUAAAUAUUCAGGGGCAUGCACGUCUAUUUUUAUAUAUCAAAGUAAGUAAAUGGGUUAUGUAGUGUAGUUUUUAUGGGGCUCUCAGUUGGACACACAGGUGGAAUAAUGUUACCAGAUUUUGGGAAAGUAACGUUACUCGAGAUCUGUUUGUUGGAUGGAAACAUAUUUUUAUUAUCAAACUGUUCAGUAUUCACAGCUGGCUUCUUGGAGCAUCGAAGGUGUUAUGAGCUUAUCAACGGUAACUGUGGUGGCGCAACUACAUCCCCCUGGUUGCAUAAAGUUACCCUGUUGAAGGAAAACUGCUCGACACCUCGAGGACGUUCACGUUACAAUAAGUCUCAUUUUGUCACUGUGCCUCUCAUUGGUUGCAUACCCUGUUGAAGGAAAGCUGCUUGUCUAUUGAGGACGUUCACGUUACAAUAAGAAAGAAAAUCAUAGGUGAUGAGCCACUCAUCUCUGUAGUCAUGGACGGGUGGCCUGCAUUAUGUGAUCAGAG